UAUCUCUGCAGGGCGGCGUCUCCCGCCGGCGUUGCCCGGCCCCAGCUGGAUAUAAGCGCGGCUUACAAACCGCGCUGGCGGUCUCCCCGCGCGCGUGUCCCUGCUUGCUCCAGCCUCUGUGUGGGGUCACCUGGAAGGGGAUAAAAGAGGCAGUGCGGCUGACUCAGGCGAGAGACCAGCGAGGGACCACAAGGAAGGAGAUUCAAAGAGCUGGCAAAGAGCUGAGCCAGCAGGGCAGGAGCAGUUGACCCAGAAGAGCCUGAAGGAGUGGGACUUGCAGGCAGCAUUUGGACCCUCAGCAGCGAGGCAGGCAGCUGGCAGGAGAGGCUCCCCGCUGGGCUCCAGGAUCGCCUACAAGAGGUUGUGGCCAGCAGGAGAGGCUCCCCAGCUCCAGCAAGGAUCUGAGCAGUGACCUGAGAGGUUCCCAGCUCUGCUUCUCGCUCCUCCAGGCAGCUUGACAUCAGGCCGGGGCUCCAGGAUGGUCAAAACCCCUAGCAGCUUGGAGCAGUGCCAGCACUGGUGGCUGUGUGGUAGAGUUUCUGUCUACCAUAUGAGAGAUCUGAGUACAAGUCCCAGGUGUGGUGAGUGACCUAACAGGGACAAUUUUUUCUUGCAGUGAAAAGGGGCAAUUGUGGUGUUUUCCCUCUUUCUCCUCCUAUGCCCUAUAUUCCUUGUCAUUUGACAUUUUGUAUUUUGUGCCUUUUUAUAUUUCAACAACCAGUAUUGUUUGUUCUGCUGUUUGUGUUUUACACUUUGGUUAACCCUGUCUUUUGUCAACUGGAUGAAUAUGUCUAUGAUUGUAAGAGUCUAACCUUUGUUGAAUCCUGCCCCUUUGGGGCAUUGUACUGUCCCCUAUACCCUCUGGUUUAUAUUGGUUAUGUUCCCAGUAUUGUUCUUUCAUUAAAAGUUAUAUGGUUAAGUUCCCA